GACAGAGGUGGCGAGCGUUGUUCGGAUUGAUUGGGUGUAAAGGGUGCGUAGGCGGUUCGGAAAGUCGGAUGUGAAAUCCAAUGGCUCAACCAUUGAAUUGCAUUCGAAACUUCCGAACUCGAGUGCGAGAGAGGUGAAGGGAAUUCCCGGUGUAAGGGUGAAAUCUGUAGAGAUCGGGAGGAACACCAGUAGCGAAGGCGCUUCACUGGCUCGUAACUGACGCUGAGUGCACGAAAGCGUGGGGAGCAAACGGG
rnacentral:rRNA from 1 species